GGGAGGGGAUUAGUGGCGAACGGGUGAGUAACACGUGGGCAAUCUGCCCUGCACUCUGGGACAAGCCCUGGAAACGGGGUCUAAUACCGGAUACUGACCCGCUUGGGCAUCCAAGCGGUUCGAAAGCUCCGGCGGUGCAGGAUGAGCCCGCGGCCUAUCAGCUUGUUGGUGAGGUAAUGGCUCACCAAGGCGACGACGGGUAGCCGGCCUGAGAGGGCGACCGGCCACACUGGGACUGAGACACGGCCCAGACUCCUACGGGAGGCAGCAGUGGGGAAUAUUGCACAAUGGGCGAAAGCCUGAUGCAGCGACGCCGCGUGAGGGAUGACGGCCUUCGGGUUGUAAACCUCUUUCAGCAGGGAAGAAGCGAAAGUGACGGUACCUGCAGAAGAAGCGCCGGCUAACUACGUGCCAGCAGCCGCGGUAAUACGUAGGGCGCGAGCGUUGUCCGGAAUUAUUGGGCGUAAAGAGCUCGUAGGCGGCUUGUCACGUCGGUUGUGAAAGCCCGGGGCUUAACCCCGGGUCUGCAGUCGAUACGGGCAGGCUAGAGUUCGGUAGGGGAGAUCGGAAUUCCUGGUGUAGCGGUGAAAUGCGCAGAUAUCAGGAGGAACACCGGUGGCGAAGGCGGAUCUCUGGGCCGAUACUGACGCUGAGGAGCGAAAGCGUGGGGAGCGAACAGGAUUAGAUACCCUGGUAGUCCACGCCGUAAACGGUGGGCACUAGGUGUGGGC
rnacentral:rRNA from 1 species